AUUGAACGCUGGCGGCAUGCCUUACACAUGCAAGUCGAACGGCAGCGCGGACUUCGGUCUGGCGGCGAGUGGCGAACGGGUGAGUAAUACAUCGGAACGUACCCUGUUGUGGGGGAUAACUAGUCGAAAGAUUAGCUAAUACCGCAUACGACCUGAGGUUGAAAGUGGGGGACCGCAAGGCCUCACGCAGCAGGAGCUGCCGAUGUCUGAUUAGCUAGUUGGUGGGGUAAAGGCCCACCAAGGCGACGAUCAGUAGCUGGUCUGAGAGGACGAUCAGCCACACUGGGACUGAGACACGGCCCAGACUCCUACGGGAGGCAGCAGUGGGGAAUUUUGGACAAUGGGGGCAACCCUGAUCCAGCAAUGCCGCGUGUGUGAAGAAGGCCUUCGGGUUGUAAAGCACUUUUGUCCGGAAAGAAAUCGCGCUGGUUAAUACCUGGCGUGGAUGACGGUACCGGAAGAAUAAGCACCGGCUAACUACGUG
rnacentral:rRNA from 1 species